rnacentral:rRNA from 1 species
AUUGAACGCUGGCGGCAGGCCUAACACAUGCAAGUCGAGCGGAUGAAGGGAGCUUGCUCCUGGAUUCAGCGGCGGACGGGUGAGUAAUGCCUAGGAAUCUGCCUGGUAGUGGGGGAUAACGUCCGGAAACGGGCGCUAAUACCGCAUACGUCCUGAGGGAGAAAGUGGGGGAUCUUCGGACCUCACGCUAUCAGAUGAGCCUAGGUCGGAUUAGCUAGUUGGUGGGGUAAAGGCCUACCAAGGCGACGAUCCGUAACUGGUCUGAGAGGAUGAUCAGUCACACUGGAACUGAGACACGGUCCAGACUCCUACGGGAGGCAGCAGUGGGGAAUAUUGGACAAUGGGAGAAAGCAUGAUCCAGCCAUGCCGCGUGUGUGAAGAAGGUCUUCGGAUUGUAAAGCACUUUAAGUUGGGAGGAAGGGCAGUAAGUUAAUAACUUGCUGUUUUGACGUUACCAACAGAAUAAGCACCGGCUAACUUCGUG